rnacentral:rRNA from 1 species
GACGAACGCUGGCGGCGUGCUUAACACAUGCAAGUCGAACGGAAAGGCCCUGCUUUUGUGGGGUGCUCGAGUGGCGAACGGGUGAGUAACACGUGAGUAACCUGCCCUUGACUUUGGGAUAACUUCAGGAAACUGGGACUAAUACCGGAUAGGAGCUCCUGCUGCAUGGUGGGGGUUGGAAAGUUUCGGCGGUUGGGGAUGGACUCGCGGCUUAUCAGCUUGUUGGUGGGGUAGUGGCUUACCAAGGCUUUGACGGGUAGCCGGCCUGAGCGGGUGACCGGCCACAUUGGGACUGAGCUACGGCCCAGCCUCCUACGGGAGGCAGCAGUGGGGAAUAUUGCACAAUGGGCGGAAGCCUGAUGCAGCAACGCCGCGUGCGGGAUGACGGCCUUCGGGUUGUAAACCGCUUUCGCCUGUGACGAAGCGUGAGUGACGGUAAUGGGUAAAGAAGCACCGGCUAACUACGUG